rnacentral:rRNA from 1 species
UACGUAGGCAGCGAGCGUUGUUCGGAAUUACUGGGCGUAAAGAGUGUGUAGGCGGUGUUCCCAGUCUGUUGUGAAAUCUCCCGGCUUAACUGGGAGGGUGCAGCGGAAACUAGAAUGCUAGAGGGUGGGAGAGGUAAGCGGAAUUCCUGGUGUAGCGGUGAAAUGCGUAGAGAUCGGGAGGAACAUCAGUGGCGAAGGCGGCCAUCUGGGACAACACUGACGCUGAGGCACGAAAGCGUGGGGAGCAAACAGG